GAUAAAAAACCAAUGCCCUUGCGGGCUGCUUGGUGAUUCAUGAUAACUUAACGAAUCGCAAGGCCUUUGCGCCGGCGAUGGUUCAUUCAAAUUUCUGCCCUAUCAACUUUCGAUGGUAGGAUAGUGGCCUACCAUGGUAUCAACGGGUAACGGGGAAUUAGGGUUCUAUUCCGGAGAGGGAGCCUGAGAAACGGCUACCACAUCCAAGGAAGGCAGCAGGCGCGCAAAUUACCCAAUCCCGACACGGGGAGGUAGUGACAAUAAAUACUGAUACAGGGCUCUUUAGGGUCUUGUAAUUGGAAUGAGUACAAUUUAAAUCCCUUAACGAGGAACAAUUGGAGGACAAGUCUGGUGCCAGCAGCCGCGGUAAUUCCAGCUCCAAUAGCGUAUAUUAAAGUUGUUGCAGUUAAAAAGCUCGUAGUUGAACCUUGGGCCUGGCUGGUUGGUCCGCCUUACCGCGAGUACUAUCUGGCCGGGCCUUUCCUUCUGGGGAGCCGCAUGUCCUUUACUGGGUGUGCUGGGGAACCAGGACUUUUACUUUGAAAAAAUUAGAGUGUUCAAAGCAGGCCUAUGCUCGGAUACAUUAGCAUGGAAUAAUGAAAUAGGACGGAGGUUUUAUUUUGUUGGUUUCUAGGACCGCCGUAAUGAUAAUAGGGAUAGUCGAGCAUC
rnacentral:rRNA from 1 species